CACGUAGGGGGCGAGCGUUGUCCCGGAUUCAUUGGGCGUAAAGGGCGCGCAGGCGGCCCGGAAAGUCGGAUGUGAAAACUCGAGGCUCAACCUCGAGCGUGCACCCGAUACUGCCGGGCUUGAGGCAGGUAGGGGAGAUCGGAAUUCCUGGUGUAGCGGUGAAAUGCGCCAGAUAUCAGGAGGAACACCGGUGCGAAGGCGGUCUCUGGGCAUACCUGACGCUGAGGAGCGAAAGUGUGGGGAGCGAACAGG
rnacentral:rRNA from 1 species